UCCACUUCCGGUAACACCGGAAGCGGUCCGAAGAUGGCGAUCUCCGAAGUGAACGAGCCAGCGCUAGCGGCUGGGAAAAGUGAAUUUCGUAACCAGAAGCAGAAGCAGGAGAACCGGGAUGAAUCAGAGCUCCUCACUGUAGCUGAUGGUUGGAGGAACCAGCUUUUUCCAGAGGACAAACCCAGAGGACUCUUGGAGGGAAGCAGUUUUGCAACUCUGUUCUCAAAUAUGGAGAUUGGCAAAACAUGUUAAUGCAACCCUGGACCUGAUCAAGGGCAGCAUGAUCAAAGAAGAAUUUUGAUCCAUACAUCAUCAUUAGGGCCAGAGACCUAAUAAAACUAUUAGCAAGGAGUGUUUCAUUUGAACAGUCAUUGGAACUCUUAAACUGUUACAUUAUGGUUCAGGGAAACAUGGUAUCAGCCAUUGGACCUAUUAGUGGCUUAAAAGAGCUUCUAUUGAAACUAAAAUUGACAUGGCUGCCAUCAAGGAAAAUAUUAAGAAAGCAAAGAUAAGAAACUGGAAGAUCUCACAGCUGAAGAAGUUAUGCUUAAGAUGGAAGCAGAUGAAAAGAAAAAGAAGAAGAAAAAAAAAGCAAUACAUACACACACAUAUACACUCAUAACCUGAACUAGAACCUAAUACGCUAUCUCUUUUUAUAAAGGGCUUUUAGAUACUAGGGCAUUAGUUGCCUUAUGUGUAAGAAGUAAUACUCUGAUUAUUUUUUUCUGAAUGUGUUUUUCUUUAUAAGAGUAUUUAUAUGUAUGGCUAUUCUUUAUAAAUAUAAAUUAUUGUAUUCUCUAUGUAUUUUUUGAAUAAUGUUAUACUAGAGAGUGGUAUAAUGUCUUUGUGUACAUUGCACCGAAUCUGUUCCAGGCAGGCUUUGUCUAGCAUGAUUUUAGAAGUAAUU